rnacentral:rRNA from 1 species
AACGAACGCUGGCGGCAUGCCUAACACAUGCAAGUCGAACGGGAUCCUGGUUUCGGCCAGGUGAGAGUGGCGGACGGGUGAGUAACGCGUGGGAACCUGCCCAGUGGUGGGGGAUAACUGCGGGAAACUGCAGCUAAUACCGCAUGAGCCCGAAAGGGGAAAGAUUGAUCGCCAUUGGAGGGGCCCGCGUUCGAUUAGGUAGUUGGUGAGGUAACGGCUCACCAAGCCUUCGAUCGANAGCUGGUCUGAGAGGAUGAUCAGCCACACUGGGACUGAGAUACGGCCCAGACUCCUACGGGAGGCAGCAGUGGGGAAUAUUGGACAAUGGGGGCAAGCCUGAUCCAGCGAUGCCGCGUGUGUGAAGAAGGCCUGCGGGUUGUAAAGCACUCUCAGUAGGGAAGAAAAGCCGAGUGCUAAUAUCACUCGGUCUUGACGUUACUUACAGAAGAAG